UGAGGAAUAUUGGUCAAUGGGCGAGAGCCUGAACCAGCCAAGUAGCGUGCAGGACGACGGCCCUAUGGGUUGUAAACUGCUUUUGCGCGGGGAUAAAGUGCGCCACGUGUGGCUCAUUGCAGGUACCGCGCGAAUAAGGACCGGCUAAUUCCGUGCCAGCAGCCGCGGUAAUACGGAAGUCCGGGCGUUAUCCGGAUUCAUUGGGUUUAAAGGGAGCGUAGGCCGGAGAUUAAGCGUGUUGUGAAAUGUAGUGGCUCAACCUCUGCACUGCAGCGCGAACUGGUCUUCUUGAGUACGCACAACGUGGGCGGAAUUCGUGGUGUAGCGGUGAAAUGCUUAGAUAUCACGAAGAACUCCGAUUGCGAAGGCAGCUCACGGGAGCGCAACUGACGCUGAAGCUCGAAAGUGCGGGUAUCGAACAGGAUUAGAUACCCUGGUAGU
rnacentral:rRNA from 1 species